rnacentral:rRNA from 1 species
AUUGAACGCUGGCGGCAGGCCUAACACAUGCAAGUCGAACGAGUGGCGGACGGGUGAGUAAUGUAUGGGAAACUGCCUGAUGGAGGGGGAUAACUACUGGAAACGGUGGCUAAUACCGCAUACUAUCGGAUGUGCCCAGAUGGGAUUAGCUAGUCGGUGGGGUAAAGGCUCACCUAGGCGACGAUCUCUAGCUGGUCUGAGAGGAUGAUCAGCCACACUGGGACUGAGACACGGUCCAGACUCCUACGGGAGGCAGCAGUGGGGAAUAUUGCACAAUGGGCGCAAGCCUGAUGCAGCCAUGCCGCGUGUAUGAAGAAGGCCUUAGGGUUGUAAAGUACUUUCAGCGGGGAGGCGUUACCCGCAGAAGAAGCACCGGCUAACUCCGUGCCAGCAGCCGCGGUAAUAC